rnacentral:rRNA from 1 species
AUGCAGGGUCAGGAUUGGUGCUGCUACCAGACAAGGCCGGAAGGUUACAUGGAUCAGCGCAUCUGGAUGUGGCACCCUUUGAUGGCAGCAACCGCACAUUCGCUGUUCGCUCGUUCAACAGUUACCAAUGAAGAUGAUACACCGAAUGCAAAUGAAGGGGCCACGCCAAAUGGCUCGGAGAAUCAAGAAGCUGGACCCAACGGUAGUGCGCUGGGUACUACUGUUCAAGAUCACAGCCAAGUUGCCGGCAGGGAUGUGAUAGAGUUAGAGGGUACAGAGCCAAAUGCUGACGCGCUAACUGUCGUCACAGUAGAUGCCAAUCAAGUAGUUCAACCCAAUGGGAGUGCGUUGGAUAAUAGCGGUCAAGAUGGCGUUCAAGUUAGCAGCACAGAUGUGAUAGUGUUAGAAGAUACCGAGCCAAAAUGCUGGCACACUGACUAUCAUUGA